AGCCCUUUGAAACAAAAACAUUGAAAUAAUGUGAUAUUGGUGAAAGUGACACACAAACCUUUAAAAUCAUAUUUUAAAUAUUUUCGGACAACACAUGAACGGCAAGUCGCGGAACUAUGGACCCUUAUCUGCAAGAAUAGACUCAACGCGAAUGAAGUAUACAUGUAAUUACAUGUGUUAACAUAUAGUUUUUGUCUUGUUGAAAGUUUAUUUCAAUGUUCCAAAUAUAUUUCUACCAAGAACUUAGGGUCAUUUUUGCCAAAACGUCCAUUUUUCCAAGACCUAAGCCGUUGGAAAUGUUUAAAACUGUUGCAUUUGUUUUUGAAAGAUAUCUUGAAUCGUAAAAAUAAAUUAUAUCGAAUUUUUGUCUAAGCAAUAACAUAUGUAAUUGGAAGAGUUGUGAAAUCGUAUGAAUACAAAAUCUCCAAUUUUGCUGCCACUAAUUUAGCGUUAUAAACUCCAAACGCUAGACAAAGUUGGUCAGUAGAUACUACCCUUGUGAGGGUGUACAAUAUUUUUGAAGUGUCCUUGUCAAUUACUGAAAACUCAUUGCGGUUCAUAUUAACAAAAAAUCCAAGUCUUCCUGUGACAGUUGUUCCUGCAGUAUUCGUCAAACUCAUUAUUUUGAUUGGUUUAUUUGUUUUCGAAAUCAAAUGCUGGGCUGUAAGGCAUAUGUAAGAAAGGCAAUUAUGAAUGGUAAACGACCAUCCGAAGUUUCCUGCGUAGUAGUAAGUGUCUAUCUUUUUGCGACUUAUCACUCCUACAUCGACAACUAAGCCAGUUGAGUUAUCCU
rnacentral:lncRNA from 1 species